CCUACGGGAGGCUGCAGUGGGGAAUAUUGGACAAUGGGCGAAAGCCUGAUCCAGCCAUGCCGCGUGUGUGAAGAAGGCCUUCGGGUUGUAAAGCACUUUCAGUGGGGAAGAAAGCCUUGGGGCUAAUACCCUCGAGGAAGGACAUCACCCACAGAAGAAGCACCGGCUAACUCCGUGCCAGCAGCCGCGGUAAUACGGAGGGUGCGAGCGUUAAUCGGAAUUACUGGGCGUAAAGCGCGCGUAGGCGGUCUGAUAAGCCGGUUGUGAAAGCCCCGGGCUCAACCUGGGAACGGCAUCCGGAACUGUCAGGCUAGAGUGCAGGAGAGGAAGGUAGAAUUCCCGGUGUAGCGGUGAAAUGCGUAGAGAUCGGGAGGAAUACCAGUGGCGAAGGCGGCCUUCUGGACUGACACUGACGCUGAGGUGCGAAAGCGUGGGUAGCAAACAGCAUUAGAUACCCGAGUAGUC
rnacentral:rRNA from 1 species